CAAAAGAACAAUAGACAAGUAAUUUAUUAAUUCUAAUUAAAAACAACCAGUUGAGUAAGCAUACUUUCAGAAUUCAUCAGGUACUGUAAAACAAUGGCUAUGCUAUUAAUGUGGCUGAUUUUCGCCUUCAUUAUGUCACUGGUAAAUCACGAGGCUGAAGCUGGCAGAGUAUAUCCUAUGAGAGACAUCUCCUACGACUUAACAGAUGAUAUGGACGUUUGGGCUAACAACUGGUUGAACGAGUAUUGAAAAUUUAAAUCAUUUGGAAUUUCACAAGAAAACUUCAAAAUUUCAACUGGAGUGAGCCUACCAAACAAUACAGAUAAUAAAAUAUAACAAAUAAA